UGUGGUUUAAACAUAUUUAUUCAUUUAGUCAUGAUGGGAUUGGCAAACAAGCAUAAAAACAUGCUUAUAUCAAUGCCGCUCCCUAACAAUGAUACAAUAGUAUUAACAUUAAUGAUAGUGACGUUCGUUAUAUCCAUUGU